ACGCCCCUGGCGGUAGAGAACAAGGGUGUGAACCCAACUCAAUAUUGCAGCUGGCAAGUGACACGGGAGGUGCAGGCAAAACCCUAGCCAGUGGAGGCGGCCAUGAUCAUCGCCGAAAUCGAUGCACAGAUGACCGGCACCAGGGAGGAGUUCGACAGCGAGGCGGUGAUCUGCGCUGCCAUGGUCAAUGAACAAGCCCAACGAGGUGGGAGACCACGCUACUCAUCGUCACUGAUAAAGGGUUCAUCAACAUCGUCGUCGGGUUGCUCAAGCACUCUGACAAGGAGAGCCUUGCGAGAAAGAACAAAUCAAGAUUCAAUGCCCUGCACAUCACUGCAAAGGAAGGCCACGGAGUAGUUUUGCUACACUAUAGUAGCAACAAUCCUUGCGUGACAAUUAUUGUACCGAUUACAUCAUAGCAAAUCAUAGCAAAGGGACAAUAUGAGGGGCCUUCAAACUGCAGUUUGAGAGACAAUCUGUUUGUCCUAUGGAGGUGCUCAAUGGACUUAACAUCAGAAUAGCCUGGCUUUCAGAAGAAAAGAUGACAGCUUUAUUUUGUUGUUGUAGUGUGCCUAUUCGGAAACAAGAAGUGAGUGCUUUGUUUUUUUAAUAAUAUAAC